UCUUUUACGUGCACGCCAAUGUGUACAUGGAACCUUGGUUUUUCGUCCCAUCCGAACGACUGCACCAUUAACAAGGGGAAACCACGCCAGAACAUUCCAAUGGACUUUCUCGGCCAACACCGGGAUCAGUCCGGCGACCUCCAGACUAGCCACUAUGUGGCUCCCCUACAUAAAGAAGACGAUAAUCUCAAUAGUUAAAAGUCGCAAUAUGUAAAACCCUUGCACAGUAAAGAAAACAAAUGUUCUUAGAAAUAUGUAAAAGAAAUAACAUAAGUUUGUGAGAAUCUAAACACUGGUAAAAAUGCGAAGUGUUUACCAUCAUGUGAGGGAUUUGGUGUCCAAUGGGAACAAUUCUCAUCCACUUACGUAUGUUUACCAUACCCUGCUGGAACCAAAUGCUGUAUUGAAGAAGAACAAACAACAACAACAACAACUGUUGCUCCUACCACUGUUCCCACAUCUACUAGUACCACCGUGCCAACAACUACAACCCCAGAACCAGCUCCCCCUGUUGAACAACAGUGUGGAGUACAGCCAGAAGAUGUACCGGUUUCUUUUAGGAUUUUGGGUGGCUCCCCAAGCAAAAAGUGUGACUGGCCGUGGCAAGUAUCCAUUCGAGGAAGAUCCGGUGAAGAUGUUGAACUCGAUCCUUCAAGUUCUAACAGCGUCCCCUUCUGUAAUGGUGUCAUUAUUGAUGAAAACCAUGUUGUUACAACCGCUGCUUGUGUCAUGUUAGCUACUGCCGCUGCCGGUGGACCGGCUGAAGAUAAUAUAUUGGUGAUUGCUGGAGAAUACGACACACAGUCAGCCGAUUUUACUAAAGUUGGAAAUUCAUUUACAACAAAUGAAGUCGGGAAGGGCGUAUCUAAAGUCAUUAUUCAUCCAGAAUUUUUUAAGACUGAUGCCUCGAACUUUACAGUUUUCGACCUUGUUGGUACCGAUGAUAAGGAAGCCAAUAAUUUAGCCAUUUUGAAAUUGGAAUCACCACUGGAGUUUGGAAGAUGUAUUCGUAAAGCUUGUAAACCGGACGAGUUAAGUUGGAAUAAGAAGGAUUGCGUUAUAGCUGGAUGGGGCGUUCACACGGAAGGUGUGGCAGGUGAAGUAACUACCGAGUUGUUAACCGCUGAAGUUGAGUUGAUAAAACCGGAAAUAUGGGAUCUUGUUAAUGAGCUUAGUGAUGAUGAUCCUGAGAUGAUCAAACCGCUAACAACAUUCGCAAAAUUCAAAGAUAGUGCAAUAAAUGGCAGUACUUGCAUGAGUGAUAAUGGUGGUAUGGUUGUCUGUAAGAACGGAGAGGGCAGAUGGGCAUUGGAGGGUCUCAUCAACAGACCAUCAUUCGACGCGUGUUCACCCGGAGACAAAUUUCUUGUAACAGAUAUCAGCGCUGCUCAAAUGUGGAUAGACGAAAUGACCAUGGUGUAGGUGACUCGCCAAUAAGAUGGCGUCCUUCAUUUUUAUUCAGAGAUAAAAAGUUUCAAGCCUU